rnacentral:rRNA from 1 species
UACGUAGGGUGCGAGCGUUAAUCGGAAUUACUGGGCGUAAAGCGUGCGCAGGCGGCUUUGCAAGACAGAUGUGAAAUCCCCGGGCUCAACAUGGGAACUGCAUUUGUGACUGCAAGGCUAGAGUACGGCAGAGGGGGAUGGAAUUCCGCGUGUAGCAGUGAAAUGCGUAGAUAUGCGGAGGAACACCAAUGGCGAAGGCAAUCCCCUGGGCCUGUACUGACGCUCAUGCACGAAAGCGUGGGGAGCAAACAGG